AGAAGUUUGGUAGUCAUGAACAUAAUACUUUUAAAAUGUACUGGCCUUCAAACUUCUUA
rnacentral:pre_miRNA from 1 species